rnacentral:rRNA from 1 species
CAGAGGGUGCAAGCGUUGCUCGGAAUUAUUGGGCGUAAAGGGUAGGUAGGUGGUCUCAUUUGUCCGGGGUGAAAGCCUUGAGCUUAACUCAAGAAGUGCCCCGGAAACGGUGAGACUGGAGUCUUGGAGAGGGUCGUGGAAUUCCCGGUGUAGCGGUGAAAUGCGUAGAGAUCGGGAGGAACACCAGAGGCGAAAGCGGCGACCUGGACAAGUACUGACACUCAACUACGAAAGCGUGGGGAGCAAACAGGAUUAGAUACCCUGGUAGUCCACGCUGUAAACGAUGGGUACUAGGUUUGGUGGGUCUUGACCCCCGCCGAACCGGCGCUAACGCAAUAAGUACCCCGCCUGGGAAGUACGGUCGCAAGACUA